rnacentral:sRNA from 2 species
CCACCGGAGGCGUCGAGACGACGGGCAGGCGCGGGGGACCCACCGAUCAGUGGCCCUCCGGGCCUCGGGGUGAAGCCGCAGCAUGCGGCCGGGCAACUCUCGCCCGAACCCGACAGCUAACUCCGCAGGCGGCGAGAGGCUCA